GUUUGUGUGCGUGUAGACGGAAGAGGGUGUGACAAACAACAAGCCCACCGCAUGACUGUAACCAGAGAGGCAGAGACAAUUGUGGAGCAAACCAUAAAACAGAUGUUACAUGCGGAGACAAGUGUUCCUGGAUGAAAUGCAGGACUGAUGAAACGCACACAGUGCUGCAACUUUGGAGCCAGUUAAUCUAAAGCUCAGCACUUAGGGCUUGAGUGCCACACUCUGCAACUGGAGAAUGGACUUCCUCACGAACAGACACCAGACAGGCUGGAUUGGUGGUCACAUCUUCG